rnacentral:rRNA from 1 species
AGCAGUCGCCGCGGUAAUACGGAGGGGGCUAGCGUUGUUCGGAAUUACUGGGCGUAAAGCGCACGUAGGCGGCUUGGUAAGUUAGAGGUGAAAGCCCGGAGCUCAACUCCGGAAUUGCCUUUAAGACUGCCGAGCUAGCAGGUGAGAGAGGUAAGUGGAAUUCCGAGUGUAGAGGUGAAAUUCGUAGAUAUUCGGAAGAACACCAGUGGCGAAGGCGGCUUACUGGCUCAUACUGGACGCUGAGGUGCGAAAGCGUGGGGAGCAAACAGGAUUAGAUACCCGCGUAGUCCCUGUCUCUUAUAC